GAAAGGUUUCUCACCUGUGUGGGUUCUCAUGUGUCUAUUUAAACUUGAUUUUUGGGUACAUCUUUGUCCACAAAGAUCACAACUGAAAGGUUUAUCCUCUGUGUGGAUUCUCAUGUGUACAUUUAAACUUGAUUUCUGGCUACAUCUGUAUCCACAAAGAUCACAACUGAAAGGUUUCUCUCCUGUGUGGAUUCUCAUGUGUUUAUUUAAAUG